rnacentral:ncRNA from 1 species
AUAACUUUGCGGAUCGCACGGUCUAGCACCGGCGACGGAUCAUUCAAGUGUCUGCCCUAUCAACUUUCGUCGGUACGGUAUUUGCCUACCGAGGUUCUUACGGGUGACGGGGAAUCAGGGUUCGAUUCCGGAGAGGGAGCCUGAGAAACGGCUACCACAUCCAAGGAAGGCAGCAGGCGCGCAAAUUACCCAUUCCCGACGCGGGGAGGUAGUGACGAAAAAUAACAAUGCAGGACUCGUUCGAGGCCCUGUAAUUGGAAUGAGUACACUUUAAAAGCUUUAACGAGUAUCCAUUGGAGGGCAAGUCUGGUGCCAGCAGCCGCGGUAAUUCCAGCUCCAAAAGUAUAUAUUUAAGUUGUUGCGGUUAAAAAGCUCGUAGUUGGAUUUUGGGCGCAGGCGGCCGGUCCGUCGCAAGGCGUGUACUGGACGUCCUGGCCUUCCCUCCGGUUCUCCGCCGGUGCUCUUGACUGAGUGUCGGCGGCGGCCGGAACGUUUACUUUGAAAAAAUUAGAGUGUUCAAAGCAGGCUCUCGAGCCUGGAUAAUGGUGCAUGGAAUAAUGGAAUAGGACCUCGGUUCUAUUUUGUUGGUUUUCGGAGCGCGAGGUAAUGAUUAAGAGGGACAGACGGGGGCAUUCGUACUGUGCCGUUAGAGGUAAAAUUCUUGGAUCGGCGCAAGACG